AUUGAACGCUGGCGGCAUGCCUUACACAUGCAAGUCGAACGGCAGCACGGGAGCAAUCCUGGUGGCGAGUGGCGAACGGGUGAGUAAUAUAUCGGAACGUGCCCAGUCGUGGGGGAUAACGUAGCGAAAGCUACGCUAAUACCGCAUACGAUCUAUGGAUGAAAGCGGGGGAUCGCAAGACCUCGCGCGAUUGGAGCGGCCGAUAUCAGAUUAGGUAGUUGGUGAGGUAAAGGCUCACCAAGCCGACGAUCUGUAGCUGGUCUGAGAGGACGACCAGCCACACUGGGACUGAGACACGGCCCAGACUCCUACGGGAGGCAGCAGUGGGGAAUUUUGGACAAUGGGCGCAAGCCUGAUCCAGCAAUGCCGCGUGCAGGAUGAAGGCCU
rnacentral:rRNA from 1 species